AUUUAAAUUAAAAGUCAAACUUUAUUUGGGCUAUUAAAUUUGCUUCUAAAAGAUGAGCUUGUUUCAUUAGCCUAAGGUCCAGAUGGCUACUAGUUCAUCCUAAAGCCCAGUCUAAUGUCACAUGCCAAAUUACGUGGCGCCAAGUCAAAUAAAGCGGUUCAUAAAAUCCUACCAUAUGUUAAGCUAUGAAGCAUUCAAAGUCUCCCUCUAAAUGUGAGAUCUUCGUACGUGAUCAAAUCCGAAGAUGAAGUACAAAUCAAGAUUCCAGACAGGUGGUCUCGAAUCUUUAUAGCUGAAUCUUAAAUACUGGUUCAUGACAAUCAUCAUAUUAACGAAGCACAAUAAAUUCAAUACCAAGAUCUUGAAUCAAAUUCGAAGUCCGUCAAGUUCAAGAUCAAGCUCUCGAUCCUUUGAUUGAUGUUUAUUAGGAGAAGAAUCUGAGGACUUCAUUGUUUAACCAAAAUAUAAAAUUUUAGUCAAAGCUAGAAUUUAAAAGAACACGGGUUACUGAUAAUCAAAAGAGUGUAUAAAAUGAAGUAAUUUAGGUAGCAAGAAAGUAAUCAAGAGAAAAACAAGUAAACCAAAGUUUAUAUCGAUAGUAUUUCGUGUCCUUACAAUUGAUCAGAUAUCUCCCUUUUAUAAAUAUCUUGGAGAUAUACAUUUUGCCCAAAUCAUAAUGAGGCUAUUAUGAGUAAUUAAAGACAUUUAAUGCUACGUUACAUAAUCAUUACAUUCAAUACAAAUUCUCUAACGUAUUCCACAUUUAAUGCCUAUUAAAUGUCGUAUCUGCACUCUUUUCUAUUGUUAGAGUCAUUCCUUUUGAUUGUCGGACAUAAAUGACUUAGAUAGGUCGGGCGCUGGGUAAUUUGUAUACCUGCCCGUGCCUCUUCCUCUGCCAUUUGCUCGUAUCUAUUGCAACUCGUGCCUCUUGGCUAGUUGUAAUUCUUUGAUCAUUUGUCCAGUCUACGUGUUUCGACACGUCACCUUUAUAUUUAAAUACAAUUUUUUCCAAUACAGAUAGUCCCCCCCCAUUCCAUUUAUUCAUCAGUUGAAUAUUUGGGAAGUGGACUUCAUUAAAAGAGAAUUUUUGUCACCAUUAAUGCUAUGACAAAAUUGACGCUUCAAUUGUCGCUUCCAUUUAAUGCUCCGUACACGUGUCAUUUUUCCAUUGGUUUUGCAGUUUUGCAGCCCUUUUCAAGGCUUUUUACGGCUCUACUAUUCAUGAAGUGCCAGUUAUCAUUAUUAUGGUCCUUCCAUCACUGCACUUUUACCUUUGGCGGUGGCGUAUUAAUAUAAAUUUAACUUUUUUCCUUGUCUUUUAUCACAUAAAGCUUAUUGAACACUUAAUUCCUCAAAUCUCAGUUCACUUCUUCCUCACAUUAUUUUUCUUCGCCAUGUCUUCACCAAAUCCUAACCCUAGGAGAGUUCCCAUUGUUGAUACCUUCCCUAGUUCCCCAUUAGACAUAGAAGGGGAGGUAGGCUUCGUAGCUUAGGGUCUAGUCACGGUGGUGGUUCGUCUAUACCUUCUCCUAGUUCUGGUCCUUCUUUUAGAACCAGAGGUUCACUUUCUCACAAAUCUUCUUCUAGGGAUAAAGAACCUUCUGAACCAUUACGUGGGCCUUUAGUAGAGGAGAGAGUCCCUACAGAACUAUCUUUUUACCAUGAUAGGGAAUCUCUUAGAAACCAGGUUUCCGCUUUAGAUCGUGCUAACACUUACCCCACUCAAAUUACAGAAGUUUUGACUCCUGUAGUUCGCAAAGACCGCCAUUGGAGUAAUGAUUUUCCCAUUAUUAUCGCUAAUCCAAAUCAGAGAAUUACUUCUUACUUGACUCGAUUCUCUUUUGUUUAUACAUACCCUUUCACUUUAGGGUUCAAACUAGCUAUUGGCCCAGUCAUUCUUGAAUUUUGCCGUUUCUUUAAUGUCUGUUUGGGUCAAAUUGGCCCAAUUAUAUGGAGGGUUGUUGCCUGUUUAAGGCAUUUAACCAAUAUGGCUGACCUUUCCUUUACUUUCCCUCACCUGAUUUAUCUUUACUCCCCUAUGUCACACCUCUUUUUUUCCUACACCCCGGAAGGGAGUUUAUAAGGGAGUUUUUCCAACUUAAAGUGACAAUCGAAACGGGAUUAUUUUAUUUAAAAUCAGAGUCGCCACUUGGGAUAAUUUAUGGUGUCCCAGUCACCGGUUCAAAUCCCGAAUUGAGGAAAAGGUUGACUCUGUAUUACAGUCCGCGAACCAGAAAUUCGAGUAAGGAAUUCUGUUAAUCCGGGAGAAGGUGUUAGGCAUUCCCGAGUUUCGUGGUUCUAGCAUGGGCUCAACUGUUAUAUUCAGCUUAAUUAUCUGAUUUUAAAUAAUUAUGAACCUAUGUGCAAAUUUUAACUUAUUAACCGCUCUUAAUUAUUUUCAGGAAGAUUCAACAUUAUUUAAAACACGCCUUGAACCACGCCACAUGAAAUAUACCCACGGUCCACGACAUAUUUUAUUUAACGUUGUCGAGAAUUGAAGUUGAGUCACACGAAAUGCACACCCGAGUUUAUGGAAAUUAAUUUAAGUAGCGCGCCUAAAGCAACUAGCGCGUGUUCAUAAUUGAAUUGUUUCUUCCUAACAAAUAACUUUGAGAUUAUUACAGUCAUGGAUCAUGGACCUGGGAUGAGUUGGAGGCCACAUUAUGGUCUGGCUAUUUGAAAUUAUUCGUUAUGGAGGAAAGAGAAAGGAGAAAAGUUUUGAUUAAUACAUUCAUGCCUUGAAGCCCUUAAAAUGCUAACCAACCAAAGUGACUUAAGCCUGAAUACUUAUCUAGUUUAUCCAGGACCUAGCAGAUUAUCUUUAAAAGAGUGUGCACAUCCUACUCCCCAAAUUAAAUGAAAAUCCCUCAUCCUGAUUCUCUCAAAUAUCAAAUAACACAAUAGCCCUAUCAAUAAUCAGGCAAGAUAACAUCAAAUGGGUUAGAGAAGAGAAUUAUUAAGCUAUGGAAAUAUCAUGCUCGCAUUUAGCGUGUAGGUGAACAACUCACAAUCUCGAGCAUUCGUUAAUCUAGCUUCAAAUACACCAAGUAAAUCAAAAGAACAAACAAAGCAAUUGAAGGGGAAUAACCAGGAAAAUAAUAUCUUGACAAAUCAUAAAAGAAAAUAUCUAACUAAUGAGCAACAACAGUUAAGAAAUAGAGGUUCAUAGAGGAAGGUGAAGAAAAUGAACCUUUGAGUGAAAUAAAGUUCUUUCAUUUGCUUAAAAUUUACAGCAUCUAAAAUCAACGGCCGAUGAGCUCAAAUCGAGAAAGCUGAAAACUUUGACCGAAACUAGACCGGAAACUUCAAACGACCUUGUUGGAACCUCGGACCGGCGAACUCGAACAUCGCCUCACUUCGAAGACGGUUUCAGAACUGAGUUUGGACUGAUUUUGAAGUUGUUUUGCUGGUGAUUUCCAGCUGCGUUUUUGGCUAGGAAGCCAUGGCAGCAGGUCACUUAUUCUAUGAAGAAGAAGAUCAGGAGAUGGAAUGGGUGGUAGGUCCGAUCUGUAGCUGUCAGCUUUAGGUCCUCUGUCAGCCUUUUCUUAUGGCUUUUUGUGUGUCUUUUUCGCUAAUUGUAUGUAUUUUCACCGAUCCUCUUUGAUAUGGCCGCCUCUUGAUUUUUUAGGGUGAUCUCUUUAUAUAGAGUCUAGGUUUAGGUUAUUAUUUUUGUGUAUUUUUCAAUUAGUCCCUAGGUCUUUUUGUGUUAAGUCCUUAGGGUCUUUUUUAUUUGUUUUUGGUUCCAAAUAAGAGUCUAUAAGGGUCCCUAGACUUAAUGAACUAAUCCGAAUUGGGCCAAGAAUUGGGCUCUAAAGCUCUUAAAAUUGUGAUCCAACAC
rnacentral:lncRNA from 1 species